ACCUAAUAGAUACCCUGGUAGUCCACGCCCUAAACGAUGCGAACUGGAUGUUGGGUACAUUACGGUACUCAGUGUCGAAAGCUAAACGCGUUAAGUUCGCCGCCUGUGGAGUACGGUCGCAAGACUGAAACUCAAAGGAAUUGACGGGGGCCGGCACAAGCGGUGGAGUAUGUGGUUUAAAUUACGAUGCAACGCGAAGAACCUUACCCUGGCCUUGACAUCUGUCGAAUCCUGCAGAGAUAUGGGAGUGCCGCAAGGAACGACAAGACAGGUGCUGCAUGGCUGUCGUCAGCUCGUGUCGUGAGAUGUUGGGUUUAAGUCCCGCAACGAGCGCAACCCUUGUCCCUAGUUGCCAGCACAUCAUGGUGGGAACUCUAGGGAGACUG
rnacentral:rRNA from 1 species